rnacentral:rRNA from 1 species
UUACGGGAGGCAGCAGUGAGGAAUUUUGCACAAUGGAGGUAACUCUGAUGCAGCGACGCCGUGUGUAGGAUGAAGGGGCUCUGCCCUGUAAACUACUGUCGGAUAGGAAUAAAAGUUGGGUUGCCCAACUGGGAAUGUACUAUCAAGGGAAGGAUCGGCUAACUACGUGCCAGCAGCCGCGGUAAUA